GACGAACGCUGGCGGCGUGCUUAACACAUGCAAGUCGAACGGAAAGGCCCUGCUUUUGUGGGGUGCUCGAGUGGCGAACGGGUGAGUAACACGUGAGUAACCUGCCCUUUACUUUGGGAUAACUUCAGGAAACUGGGGCUAAUACCGCAUAGGAGCUCCUGCUGCUUGGUGGGGGUUGGAAAGUUUCGGCGGUUGGGGAUGGACUCGCGGCUUAUCAGCUUGUUGGUGGGGUAGUGGCUUACCAAGGCUUUGACGGGUAGCCGGCCUGAGAGGGUGACCGGCCACAUUGGGACUGGGAUGGGGGCCGGAGUCCUACGGGAGGCAGCAGUGGGGAAUAUUGCACAAUGGGCGGAAGCCUGAUGCAGCAACGCCGCGUGCGGGAUGACGGCCUUCGGGUUGUAACCCGCUUUCGCCUGUGACGAAGCGUGAGUGACGGUAAUGGGUAAAGAAGCACCGGCUAACUACGUG
rnacentral:rRNA from 1 species